UUUGUUUCUCUUUAACUGCAGUUAAACCUGUUCCCUCAAGCCUCAUAAUGUUUCUCAUCUGUUUAAUCAUCUCUAGGCUGAGCUGCACCUUCUUACUGGAUCGCAUACUGCAGGCACAAGUGAAACUGAUAGCAUUUGCUUUGAUUGCUCUUCUGGCAGCUUGGUGAACUACCUGCCUCUCCCAGCAGAUUAACUAUAGUCAAGAACAUCUGAAAUUAUUUUCAAACAGCUGCAGAGAGAGACACUGUGCAGCACUUCUGCUCUUCUCAGGCGGUCACUGUCUGUGAGAUGUCCAUGCUUCAUUUGAGGCACCAAGAGUUGAGUUUAAUAGAUGGAGGUGGACAUGCGCUCUACUCCUGAAUAACCUGGAGUGAGGUGGUGGUGGAGGGAAGCGGCCAUUGGCACGAGCUACGCUCCGAAACUGAAGGGAUGCUUUUAGCUUGUGGACCUCUGUUGUGCAGUGGGGCUUAGUCUUACCCACCCUGUGUCACCUCGGACGACGAUAACCAAGUCUUUGUUUGCAAAUCAGUAGGCUGCAGGAGUGGUGGACACCACAAAUGCCCCGGAGAAAACAAACAAUUGUGUAUUCUGUGCAGGCUUUGGCUGGUGCGCAGUAAACAUAUUCAAUGUGUGGUCCAGACACAUUGCCAGUAAAGAAAAGUCAGAAGUGACUAGCUGCCCAUUCAGCAAUCUCUAUCUUCAGUGCAUUGAAUAUAUGGAUCCCCAGGCAAAACGACAAAGCGACUGUGGGGCCACGUUCUAAGCCAGUGCUAUAAUUCACUUACAGGAGGCGUGAACUGAAGUUGUACCAGUAAUUCUAGUUCUGGCAUGUCCUAACUGCUGAGGAUUGGAUUUGGAUUUUACAAGCUGAACGUUCUCAAGUUGUGCUGGCCUGCUUGUUUAGGACUUGAAUUUAUUUUAUUGCCCGUGUUCCCUAUGCAUAAUGUAAGAGAUUGUUUAUGGGCUGAUGCGGAGGAAUAAUACCAAUAGAUGCUCGGGCCAGCUAAUUGCAGGUGUAAACAACAAUGUCCUGAAUGGAAGCUAACUGAACCCUUAUCUAGAAGUGUGUGGUUUUUAGUUUUUUUUCCUCUUUUUCUAGAAAUCCUCUAGAAUGACCUGCCAGUGAACUGGGAAGGCAAGAAGCAGGGAAAGAUCUGUAGCGUUAUGGUGGCUUUUGGAGAUGCUGAUCAAUUCUUGCAGACUCUGCAAGACAAAGGUGGGCUCUAGCUUAUUGUAUGACUUUCCCAAAUAUGCUAGUUAUUUAAAUGAGACUUCUUUUUUCAAA